UACGUAGGGGGCUAGCGUUGUCCGGAAUCAUUGGGCGUAAAGAGCGUGUAGGCGGCCCGGUAAGUCCGCUGUAAAAGUCAAAGGCUCAACCUUUGAAUGUCAGUGGAUACUGCCGGGCUAGAGUCCGGAAGAGGCGAGUGGAACUCCUGGUGUAGCGGUGGAAUGCGCAGAUAUCGAGAGGAAUACCAAAGGCGAAGGCAGGUCACUGGGCAGUUACUGACACUGAGGCACGAAGGCUAGGGGAGCAAACGGG
rnacentral:rRNA from 1 species